ACGGGAUAUAGCUCAGCUUGGUAGAGCACCUGCUUUGGGAGCAGGGUGUCGUAGGUUCAAAUCCUACUAUCCCGAAU
rnacentral:tRNA from 1 species